rnacentral:rRNA from 1 species
AUUGAACGCUGGCGGCAGGCCUAACACAUGCAAGUCGAGCGGAGCGGCGGACGGGUGAGUAAUGCCUAGGAAUCUGCCUGGUAGUGGGGGAUAACGUCCGGAAACGGGCGCUAAUACCGCAUACUAUCAGAUGAGCCUAGGUCGGAUUAGCUAGUUGGUGGGGUAAAGGACGACCAAGGCGACGAUCCGUAACUGGUCUGAGAGGAGGAUCAGUCACACUGGAACUGUGACACGGUCCAGACUCGUACCGGGGGGAGGAGUGGGGGAUAUUGCACAAUGGGCGAAAGCCUGAUGCAGCGACGCCGCGUGGGGGAUGAAGGCUUGCGGGUUGUAAACCUCUUUCGCUAUCGAACGGGUAGGUGGAGAAGAAGCGCCGGCUAACUACGUGCCAGCAGCCGCGGUAAUAC